AAACCCUUGUGCUCAUGGGCCUGGUCUCAAGACGCAGUCAGCUGUUGGGGAUCAGAGGCCGCACUCAUCGUAGCAGAGAGGCAGGACCAGCUGGGAGAGGGUCCUUCUGUGACACCAAGCAUCACCGGGCUGUGGGAAGUGACUCAGCUGCCAGAACUCACACAAUAUCAUUCUGCACCAAAACCUCACGGGAAAAAUGCUCCAUGACCCUCAGACUUAAACAGCAGCACUGGCUCCUCCCCAGAUCUCCAGCUCCCUGACCCUCAAACUCCAACUCCAGCACCAGCUCCGCCCGGGUCUCCAGCUCCACCAUCCUCAAACUACAACAGCAGCACCAGCUCCCGCGUGGAUCUCCAGCUCAAUGACUCUCAGACUUGGGAGGCAGCACCGGCUCCCCACCAAGACUCCAGCUCUACAACACUCAAACUAGAACAGCAGCACCGGCUACUCCCUGGCUCUCCAGCUCCCUCAAACUUCAACGAUAGCACUGGCUGUUCCCCGGGACCACCAGCUCCACAACCCUCAACUUACAUGGCGGUAGCACCAGCUCCUCCCUAGGUCUCCAGCUCCACGACCAUCAAACUUGAACCGCAACACCAGCUCCUCUUCAGCCUCCAGCUCCACAAUCCGCAAACAACAACAGCAACACCUGCGCCUCCCUGAAUCUCCAGCUCAACAACUCUCAGACAUGAGAGGCAGCACCAGCACCUCCCCAAGGCUCCAGUUCCACGACCCUCAGAUUUGAACAGCGGUAGCACCACCUCCCGUGCAGGUCUCCAGUUUCACGAACCUUAAACUAGAACAGCAGCACCAUCGCCUCCCUGGGUUUCCAGCUCCACGACCCUAAGACUUGAAUGACAGAACCAGGUCACCCCUAGGGCACCAGCUCCGAGACCCACAGAUUUGAAAGGCAGCGCCGGCUCUUCCCGGGAUCUCCAGCUCCACAGCCCUCAGACUAGAUCAGCACCACCGGCUCCCCUCUGGGUCUCCCUUCAGCUCCACAAUCCGUAGACAUGAACAAUAGCACCGGCUCCUCCCUGGGUCUCCAGCUUCACUCCCCUCAGACACAAACAGCAACAGCACCAGCUCCUCCCCCUGUCUCCAGUUCCACGAACCUCAAACUACAACAGCAGUACCAGCCUCUCCCCAGGCCUCCAGGUCCAAGACCCUCAAAAUACAAUGGCAUGACCGGCUC